rnacentral:rRNA from 1 species
CCUCCUUCUGGAUUCCCGUUCCUGCUAUUGAGUUAGUGGGGACGUCACAGGGGGCUCAUCGUCGUCAGCAAUGCCGGCGGUGGGUCCCUGGGGCCCAGAUCGUUUACCGUGAAAAAAUUAGAGUGUUCAAAGCAGGCAGAUCCAAUUUUCUGCCACCGAAUACAUUAGCAUGGGAUAAUGGAAUAGGACCCUGUCCUCCUAUUUUCAGUUGGUUUUGGCAGCGCGAGGACUAGGGUAAUGAUUAAUAGGGAUAGUUGGGGGCAUUAAUAUUUAAUUGUCAGAGGUGAAAUUCUUGGAUUUAUGAAAGAUUAACUUCUGCGAAAGCAUCUGCCAAGGAUGUUUUCAUUAAUCAAGAACGAAAGUUAGGGGAUCGAAGACGAUCAGAUACCGUCGUAGUCUUAACCAUAAACGAUGCCGACCAGCGAUUAGGAGACGUUGAAUACAAAACACCACCAUCGGCGCGGUCGUCCUUGGCGUCUCGGUUUCUGCCGGGGCGCGGGGAUGGCUUAGCCCGGUGGCACCGGUGAAUGACUCCCCUAGCAGCUUGUGAGAA